ACCAACAAAAUUAAACAUUCAUAAGAAAAAAUUGUCAAAAUUCUAGUAAACUAUCAAAACCCUUUCGAACCUCUUUCAAAAUUAAAAGUGUUUCACAAUGACUUACUAUAAAUUAAGUUAUAUCCCAUAUUGUUUACCUGAUAUGCCGUUGCAGAUCCUAUUUCAACCUCUAACUACUUUACCGGUCGUAUGUCGACCUUGUUGUCCGCCUGCCCCUUGUCCACCUUGUCCACCUCCUCGUAGUUGCUAAUUCUACUUUUACAGUAACAACAAGGAGUACAAGAAGCGUCAACAAUACUAUGUAAUGUAUAUUUUAAGUUGUAAGCCUUAAACUAUCCGUGGUGAAUAUAAAAUUGUACUUUUGUAACUAUUGUA